rnacentral:lncRNA from 1 species
UAAGGCCAAUUUCUCCUUAGUAUUAUGAGAAUAAAAAAGAUUACUUUUGAUUUUAAGUUUUUAAUGUAUAUGAAAAUCCCUCAGCUUCUCAGUGAUGAAGAGAUUAAAAAAGAAGCAGAGCAACGGACACCGAUGGGGCGCGUUGGAGAGGCAAAUGAAGUCUCACCGCUUGUAGCGUUUCUCUGUCUUCCUGCAGCUUCUUAUAUUACUGGUCAGACCAUUUGUGUUGAUGGAGGUCUCACUGUUAAUGGCUUCUCCUAUCAGCCACAGGCUUGAGCUAGGUCUUAUGUUGUGUGUGUUGUCCAAUGAAAACAGUUAAAAAAGAAAAUAGCAUCGGUGCUAGUGCACAAAACAUAUGAGGGUCUUAAUUAAACAUAUAUGAUACUAUACUUUCUUUUUUUUUUUUUUUUUUUUUUUUUUGAAUAAAAUGUAAAAUUUAUUCGAAAAAAUCGUUUGUACAUCAAGUGCAACUGUAGCUUAAAGCUUGUUGGCUUUACAUUUGCUAAAUGGUCAAAAGGAAAACAAGAGCAUUCCUAUCUUGUAUCAAACCAGGUUAUCAUGCAUCUCUCAUAUCUUCCGUCUCCUUUGUCUCUAAUGGUAGAGAGCUUGUUUCGAACCUCCUUGUCAAGCCUUUUUAGUAAAAGGGCUGAUGGAAGUGGUUCUUCGCCAUGUCUUCUGCUAUUCCUUUCUUUCCAUAUCGAGUACACUAGAAUUUGGAAAGCAUAUCUCAACAAAAAUAAACGAUUGUUACCCAAUGUCUUGUCCGUGAGGAGUUUGAGUAUGGUAGUCCAAUCCGUAGAGUAGUGUCUAGUUAGCAGCUUUGAGGUGAGCCCUGACCAGACUUCUCUUGAGUAUCGACAUGUGAAGAAUAGGUGAUUCCUAGUUUCCGUUUGCUCUUGGCAGAACACACAUGAGAGAUUAACCCCAGCAUUCCAACUCAUCAUUCUGUCUCCCGUUGAUAAUCGGUUCUUUGUUGCUAGCCAAGUUAUGAAGGAGUAUUUUGGGGUGGCGUGUGAGAACCAUAUACCCUGAUACCAUUCAUUACGUGGCUUUUGUUCACGAGUGUCAGCCCAUGUUUCUUUGGUGCUGAAGCUAGGCUUGAACCGGCCUCCUUUUCCUUUCCAAAGGACCACAUCCUCUGUUUCUACAAGUCCCUUAGUGCGCAGCUCUUCUAACUGUGCUUCCAUUUGGUUAAGAUGAUCAGCUCGGUGCCUCCUUCGUCUAUGUGUUAAUGCUUCUGCUACAGUGGCAUGUAUAUCAAUUCCCAUGUCAAUGCAGCCCCGUGUUCCCGAAAUCGCAAUCAACGGGCCUAGAGGUGACCAGUUAUCAUGCCAAAAGGAGACGCCCUUUCCAUUGCGGAUCUCAUACUGUGUAAAACCGGAAGCUAAGUGACGAUACUUUAGUAGCUUCCUCCACAUCCAAGACCCUAACGUUGAUGUGUCUCUUAGCGACCAGAAUGAACCCUUACGUAUCACAUAUUGCCUUAGCCAUUGUACCCACAGCGAGCUUGAUGACAACAGUCUCCAGAUAAGUUUUAGGCAACAAACCUUGUUUGCUUCUGUUAAGGAACGGAGCCCCAGCCCUCCCUCUUCCUUUGGCAUACAUACAUCGUUCCAUGAUACUUUAGCUUUUUUUCUAUUUAACUCGGGGCCGGACCAAAGAAAAGCAGAGCACAAGCCAUCUAUCUCUUUGAUGCAUGCAUUCGGUAGCCUAAAAGCGGACAUCCAAAAGUUUGUGAGACUAUGGAUCACUGAGCUUAUGAGUUGUAAACGCCCUGCGAAUGAAAGGUGUCUAGCCGUCCAGCAACUAAUUCGUUCUCGGAUUCUUUCAAUGAGAGGGAUAUAGUCACUUGUCGUCAUUCUUUUGGUUAAUAGUGGUAAGCCAAGAUAACGAACUGGUAGGGUACCUGAUUCAAAAGGAAAGGAGUAUAGAAUUAAUUCCUUGUCACUGUCUCUGACUCCCGCCAUAUAUAAUGUUGACUUCUCAAGACUGAUUUUUAAUCCAGAGAAUUUUGCAAAUUUAUCAAAGGUCUGCAAAACGCUUUCAAUAGAUCUUUUUUUUCCAUCUGUGAAUAUCAAUAGAUCGUCUGCGAAACACAAAUGUGUGAGCUUCAGAUUUUGACAUCGAGGAUGGUAGCCUAUGAUUCUCUCCAAGGCAGCGUUGUCAAGCAUUGUGGACAGAACUUGCAUACAGAUUACAAAGAGGUAGGGAGAUAAUGAGCAUCCUUGUCGAAGACCCCUCUCGCUUCAAAACAGACCAGACAAUUCACCAUUAACCUGUACUGAGAAGGAGGCGGUGGUAAUACAGAGCUCAAUCCAUUUUAUGAAUCGUGGUGGAAAAUUGAGGGCUGAUAGUGUAGUUAAGAGAAACGGCCACUGAACCGAAUCUAACGCUUUUGAUAUAUCAAUCUUUAUUGCACUCCGGGAAGAGAUCGUGUCUUUGUGGUAGUCUUUAACUAUUUCUGAUGCCAAUAAUACAUUUUCCAUCAAAAGACGAUCUUUAACGAAAGCCGACUGGUUUGGAGAUAUGAACUCCGGGAGCAGUCUUUUGAGUCUAUUUGCUAUAAUCUUUGAUAUGACCUUGUAUAUCACGUUGCAGCAAGAAAUUGGCCUAUAAUCCUUCAUCUCCGUGGCCUCUUUCUUUUUUGGUAUGAGCGCUAAGAUUGUAGUGUUUACUCCCUUAGGUAUAAAGCCAUAUAAAAAGAAAGAUUGUACUGCAACUUCAAAAUCUUUCUUUACUAUUGGCCAUGCUUCUUUUAAAAACAUCACAGUAUAUCCAUCCGGCCCCGGACUUUUAUCCCUUGGCAUGGAGAAUAAUACUUCCCUGAUUUCCUCUAUAGAUACAUCGCUUUCAAGCUGCAUCCCAUCUGCUUCGGAACAUCUGUAUUUCACUAAAUCUCGUAUCUCUUCCUCUGAUAUACCCUGGUAGUGAGCUGGUUUGUGAGCCAAAAAAUCAUGGAAAAAUCUUUCAGCCUCUUUCUUGAUCUCUUCUUGAGUGUUGACUAUAGUACCAUCAGGGCAUUUGAUUUCUUUAAUCGCAUUACGAACUUCCCUAACCUUUGCAGCCUUGUGAAACACCUUAUUAUUACCAUCUCCAACUUUCAACCAGUGAAGUUUUGAUUUUUGUUUCAGCACUUUCUCCUCCAAGUCCGACAAAUGCAACCAACGACUGUGGGCUGCAGCUUCUGCUUGCAUUGUCGUAUUUGUUGGAUUUUGCAUCCAAGAAAAACAUGUUACUGACACCAAUUUCCCAUUAUUUAUUUUGCUUAUGCAGAGGUAUUAUAUAUAUGUAAUCUCCAAGUGAAUCAUGAGAAUGUUCUUAGACUUCUCUACUAUCUUAGAGAUUAGUUCUCGUCUAAAUCCUAACUAAGAUAAAAAUUAGCAUAGUUGUUAAAUCCAAGACGUGCCAUACCAAAAGAACUAGCUGGUUUUGUUAUUAGGAAUCUCACAUUUAUAUAUCAAGAGAGCAACGGCCUAAUCCUCAGAAUCUCUCCCUUCUUGCUUCUUCGUUUAGAGUGUUCCAAACUCAGUAUUACUACUCUCCUGUAAUAUGCUCUGUUCUAAGUCUUUUUGUUGGCGUAACUCAUGUUAGGAGGCACCAUAUAUUUCGGCUGCAGGUUCCAUCGUUUUGGAAUGCAGUAUUUUUAUAAAAAGGUAUUUGAUAUAUAAAAAAAAGAUGUGAUAGAGAGAUUUCUUUCUUCUUUAGUGGAUUUCAGAGGGCAAAACGCAAAAACCAAUUGGCUUUGGCUCAUGGGGUUCUUCCCGUUAGAGAGGAUCAUAUAUAUUCCCAAUUGUAAAGUCGAUGAACCCUAUUGGGUCUAGGGUUAUGAUUCCACAAGAAGAUCCACAAGCUUCUUCUACUCCAAAGCCAAUUGGCAAACAAUAGCAUAACUCAGGCUUCUUAUAUACCAGAUUAAAUUCUUAUAUGUUUCCGAUGUGGGACUCAUUAAGGUUAAUUUUCUUGCCGAUAUUAUUUUUACACGUUCACGUAACUUAAACCUCAAGUAAUUUGUAUUGCCCUAAGGUGAGACCAAAACCUUUAGUGGGCUUAUGGGCCAAAAUAAGCCCGCUUGAUAAGAGAAGCUUCCGCUAAAAACUAGGUCUGGGCUUUCGGUUAACUGUUCGGUUAUCGGUUGGGUCCAUUCGGUUUCGGUUCUUUCGGUUCUAAAAUUUAGUAUCCAUUCGAAUAUUUUGAAAUUUCGGUUCGGUUUCGGUUCGGUUCCGGUUCUUUCGGUUUUAAAAUUUAAGGGGGUUAUUGGAUCAUUGAUUUGAAUGGAUUUGGAAAUCCAAGUAAAAUUAUGUGUUAUUCAAUCAUUGAUUUUAAAUUUUUUAUAAAAAUCAUGUGUUAUUGGUUCUAUGAUUUACAAAUACUUUUUAAAAUCACCCCAUAUUCAAUAUUGAAGAUUUGAGUAUGGAUUUGACUUCAUAUUGGAUUUGAAUGGAAUUGAAUAUAUGUUUUACUUAUAAAUAGAGUGAUUGAAAUCCUUGGGUUCCACCUAGUUAUUUGGGUGGAUUUGGAAGAAAACAAUAUUAGCAGUUUCUAUUUUCCUUGAUUUUUUAAUUAUCAUGUCAUUUACUUGUAAGAAAAGUUUUACGAGUUAUAUUUUUUGUGUCACAGGUGUACAUCAUCAAACAUGGAUCAAGCCCAUCAUGGAGAUCAAGAAGUCCUUGAAGAAAGAGAAAGAAAUGCAUUACAUGAUGACGAGUUGGAUGCUGAUAUUAUUUUGUUGGUGCUAUUUGGAAGACACCAUUCGGUUAUUUUGCUUAGAAUAUUUUCGGAUAUCUCGGUUAUUUUUGAGUAUUUUCGGAUAUUUUUGGAUAUAUUUCGGUUAUUUUCGAGUAUUUUUACUACUUUUAUAAAAUUUUCAAGUAUUUUUGAUUAUUUGAUCUAUAAAUAACUAAUUAUUUUGAAAAUAUAAUUGUAUUUCGGGUAUUUCGGUUACCCGAAAGAUUUCGAUUCGGUACCGAUUCGGUUACGGUUAUUUCGGUUAUAAAAUUUAGUAUCCAUUCGGUUAUUUUCAAAUGUUCGGUUCGGUUAUUUUUGCUUCGGUUUCGGUUCGGUACAUUCGAUUCGGUUUAUUUGCCCAGGCCUACUAAAAACCCAUGCACGUAGCUUUCUCUGUUUCUCCACUUCGUUGGAUCAAAUUCAAUAGAAUGAAACUGAUCCUGAAGAUUUCUUGGUGAAUCCUAAUUAAACGAAUUGAUUUUAGAACUAUGAAUGGAGCUACGCAAUAAUAUAGUUGUCUUGAUUAAUAUUACAAUAUACAAAAAAAUGAUUUGAAAUAGAAAGCUUGAUCAGUUGGCAACUUUGGAUUUUUAGGUCAAGCCUUAAAACUACAUUCAUUUUGGGACUAAGAAACCUAACCAGAAGAUGUUUCUGGUAAGAGACUAAGAGUAAGCCUAGCAGUAACAGAACAGACGAAAGCAGAGAAGAGCACAACUUGGACUCAAAUGAGAAGAUGGACUUCGAAACUCAUCGCCUAUCAUGCCCAAAGACAGAAUCAUGUGGCAUUACACCAUGCUUUAAAUAUUAAAAUCCCUAUGCAAUGAUGACUCAAUGGACAUCUUCUCUCUCUUACUACUACAUAAAUUCUCAUCCACACAUACAAACAUACUCAAUAUUUCACACUUAUCUGAUCCCAUACUCAAUAAUUCAUUUCUAUAUAUAUAAUAUGUGGCAUUUCUGGUCCCUGCUAGUAACAACCAAGAAAAAUGGAUAAAAGAUGGAGUCUUCAAUGUAUGACUGCUCUUGUCACCGGUGCAGCCAGCGGAAUCGGGUUCGUCUUACUUCUCUGUUCUCUAUAUCAUAUUUUUAGCUCAUUGUUCUGCUUAUAUUUCACAUCCUAAUUUUCAAGAAAGUAAUUUAUGUUUCUGAAAAUGUUUUAGAUAUGCCAUAGUAGAGGAGUCAGCUGGUUUUGGAGCUAGAAUCCAUGUAUGCGACAUCUCUGAAACUCUUCUCAAUCAAAGUUUAAGUGAAUGGGAAAAGAAAGGGUUUCAAGUGAGUGGUUCAGUCUGUGAUGUAACUUCUCGUCCCGAUAGAGAAAAACUGAUGCAAACCGUUUCCUCGCUGUUUGAUGGCAAACUCAACAUUCUUGUAAGUAAACGAUCUUAUAGAAAUGCCAAGCAUAGUUGUUUAAAUGGAGCUCCUUAAAAUAAAUCUUAAUAUAUAGGUAAACAAUGUUGGUGUACUUCGCGGGAAGCCAACAACGGAAUAUGUGGCAGAUGAUUUCUCUUUUCACAUCUCAACAAAUUUGGAAGCUGCUUUCCAUUUUAGCCAGCUUUCACAUCCUCUCUUAAAGGCUUCAGGAUUUGGAAGCAUCGUCUUUAUGUCCUCUGUCACAGGGAUUGUAUCAGUUGAAUGUGGAUCCAUUUAUGGUCUAACGAAAGGUAACCAAGUUGCUACUAGAGGAAGUUUAUUGCAAGACUGACUAGUCAAGAAGUAGUUUUCAAUUUUUGUUUUUUUUUUUCUGUUGAUUUCUUUUAUAGGAGCUUUGAAUCAGUUAACUAGAAAUUUGGCAUGUGAAUGGGCAAAAGAUGGCAUAAGAGCCAAUGCUGUUGCACCUAAUGUUGUCAAGACUCCUCUGUCUCAAUCUGUAAUAAAAAAAAGACAACAUUUACUCUUUUUUUUAUGUGAAUGUAAUUAAUCUCAAUUCCUCUAAUUAUUUCUUAAUUGUGUGUUCUUGAAGUAUCUCGAGGACGUCGGUUUCAAGGAGGCAUUAUUUGGUAGAACUCCACUUGGUUGCGCUGGAGAGCCGAAUGAAGUUGCAUCACUAGUGGUCUUCUUGUGUCUACCUGCAGCUUCUUAUAUUACUGGUCAAACCAUUUGUGUUGAUGGAGGCCUCACGGUUAAUGGUUUCUCCUAUCAACCACAGGCUUGACGCUUGAGAAUGGCUUUGUGCUCUCAAAGUUCUAGAUCUAAUAUAAAUUGUCACUCUAUGAGUUUAUACACGUAAACAUAAAUGAGUUUGCAAUUCCAUUUUGGAGAUGCUAAUCUCGCUUAGAUAGAAGAUUCGAGUACACCUGCAACACCAACAUCUUGUGGCAAUGUUUCUCUCAUAAAUCAAAAUGUUAUAUGUUUCAAGUCAUCUAUAUACGUCCCGAUGCAAAAUAACUGGAUACAAAUAUCUGAGAAAAAAAAUUGAGAAUUGUAGCAAUGAUAGGAUAUAUUACCGUCUAUGUCACUGAUUUUAAAUGUUAAUUGUAAUACAACAUGAUUAAUAUUGUACUUAUUUUUUGUUGUUGUUGCUCCGUCUAUUUCACUGAUUAUACUUAUUUAUUGUUGUUGUUCCGUGUAUGUCGUGUUUUAUCUGUUUGUCUUAAACUUCGUGUUUUAUUUUGUGAUGUAUUUGAUUCUACACGACAAGAAUGACCUUGUCCAGUUUCUUGUGAUUUGUUUGAUUAUUUCUCUAUUACAGUAAUCCCACUUGCGAAUAAUUCGCGAGCAAGGCACGAACCUCCAUACCGGUUUUGGUUCUCCCAAAAAAUAAAAACUAUCAAAGGAACACCUUACUUUGUCACGUUUGUUUUUAAAUAUUUGCACUCACUAGCAAAAAGUUGAGUGGUAUUUAAGAUCUUAAAUAGUAAUGGAAUUAUGUAAGCAAUCAAAAUACUAUUUUGCUGAUUAUUUUUGGAAAAAUUUGGACAUUUUUUCACCUGUUAUCUAAUUUGUACGUGGUAGAUGGGGAUGAAAUAGAAUGGCCUGUUAUACAACUCUUCAGAUCCAUGGUUUCUGGAGAUUUAGACUUUAUAUAUCCAUCCAAACAUCAAGAUAUCCGCGAUUUCAGUUAUAGAUCCGUUGAAAAUAUGAUAAUAAUAAAAUAUGAAAAUGUCUAAAAAAUUAUUAAAUAGUAUUUUCAAAAAUAAAAUCUGAUAUAUAGUAUAAAUAAUUUAAAUUCUAUGUGUUCUUAUAUAGAAAUAACAGAAUAUAUGUAAAUAUAUACUUAAAUUAUCUUUAAUAUAUUUAAUGAAUAUAGUUCCGACUAUCCGAAGCUGAAAAUUCGAAUAUCCGGGUUCGGUUUGAUGGAUCUAAGAUUUUAUAAGAAGUGAACCCUCUUUCAAAGUUUUCCAUUAAUAUUUUAUCUACUCUGAUUCUAUAUAUGUUAUGUAUUUGUGGUCAUUGCUAGGCAAAACAAACAAAAAAUGGAUAAAAGAUGGAGUCUUCAAAGUAUGACUGCUCUUGUAACCGGUGGAGCCAGCGGAAUCGGGUUCGUCUUUCUUCUCUCUAUAUCAUUUUUUUAACCAUUGUUUUGCUUGUUUAACAUGUGCUUUUUUUUUGUGGGAUACUUUAGGCAUGCCAUAGUAGAGGAACUAGCUGGUUUUGGGGCAAAAAUCCAUGUAUGUGACAUAUCAAAAACUCUCCUGGAUCAAAGUUUAUGUGAAUGGGAGAAGAAAGGAUUUCAAGUGAGUGGUUCGGUCUGUGAUGCAUCCAAUCGUCCCGAAAGAGAAACACUUAUGCAAACUGUUACCACGAUAUUCGAUGGCAAGCUUAACAUUCUUGUAAGUUAAUCUUAAUUUAAAGAACCCAAGAUUUAUCUUUAGACUAUGAAGAAAUGACAUGUAUAGUAGGAUAUAUCUUACUCUUUUCUGUUCAACAAAUGUGAACAACGUUGGCACAAUUCGCACAAAGCCAACAAUAGAAUAUGUGGCAGAAGAUUUCUCGUUCCAUAUUUCAACAAAUUUGGAGUCUGCUUAUCAUCUAAGCCAACUUUCACAUCCUCUUCUAAAGGCUUCAGGCUAUGGAAGCAUCGUCUUUAUAUCCUCUAUUGCAGGGAUUGUAUCAUUUGAUGCUGCAUCCAUUUAUGGUCUAACGAAAGGUAACUAGGGUUAAUUGCAAGACUGACUAAUCAAUAGAGAGAUUUUCUCCAUUAUACUAGACGAAAUAGUAUUGUGCAUUUAUGUAUAUAUACUAGAUUUUAACCCGCGGUAUACCGCGGGGCUAUAAUUUUUUUAAGAAAAUCAAAAUAUAAUUUUUUUUUUGGUCAGGGAUCAAAAUAUAAUUUAUUUAAUAGAUUAUUUAUAUAUAUAACCUAUUAUUUAGUAUUUUAAAAAUGUACAUAUAUAUAUAUAUAUAUAUUAUUAAGUGUACAGUUACAAUGUUUUAGAUAGCUUCAUCGGAUUAUAUAUAUAUAUAUAUAAAGAUUGACUCGUGGUAUACCGCAGGACUAUAUUUUAAAAAAUAGUGAAAUGUAAAUAAUUUGAAGUUUAUAUAUAGAUAUAAACGAUUAUAUUGUAUUUUUUAAAUACAUAUAUAGUGUAUGACCCGUAUAAUGAUUUAUAUACAUCUAUAUAUUUGCAAUCUAAACUAAAUCAGAAUCUAAUAUAUCAAAUCAGUAUGUUAGAAGAUUAUGCUACAAUUACAAUUGUUAUUAUAAUUUAAUUCUUUCUUUAAGUUUGUUGGUAUGAUUAUAUUGGUGGGAUUUUGUGUUGAUAAUGAAUUUGAUAAGUAAUUAGUUGAAAUAAGAUAUUUCAGAAUUUUAAUUCUAAAAAGAAACUGCGGAGAUUUUUUUAUGGAGAAAAAUCAUUAAUUUAUUUCUUAAAAUCGUUUAGUUAGAGAUAUUGGAAGAAAUUUUGGAUGUGAAAUUUUAAAAAGUAGUCGUGGAGUAAUUAUGGAGAGAUUUGUGGCAAUGUUUGUUUACUGGUAAAUCUUUUAUUUAAAUUUGGUGUAUUUAGUUGUAGAAAUCUUGGAAAAAACGAUUUUAGAAAGAAACUGUGGAAACUUUUUUGAGAGAUUUUUGGCAAUAUUGUUUGUUGAGUGCAAUAUUCUUUCCAUCUUUUAUUUGAUAUUUUUAAACAAAAAAAUUAAUUCCAGUGGCAUGACCUCGUAAAUACUUCUCAACUCUAGGAUUUAUUUGCUAAAUGUAUUCCAAAAAUAUAUAUAUAGAUGAACUUAUAUAUCUGAUUAGGAGAAUUUUUAAUUACGUUUAAUAUAUCUAAAUGAUGUUAAUUUGAUGCGGAAAAGCAGAAUUUAAUGUUGAGAGAUACAUUAAUAAAUUAUAUUAGUGUGGUAUGCAAAAUUCAUGAUUUUUCAACCCCAAAACCAGUUGGGAUGAUUCGAUUGACCAAACUGUCAAAAUAUAGGGUUUUCAAUCAUAUACUAUUUUAAACCUAUUUUUAAUUAGGUUGAUGAAUCAUAAAGCUUGUUCUAAAUGGUUCCUAAUUAAUCUUUCUCCAAAACACACUUCCAACGGCUUGAUAUAUAGUCCUAAUGUCACACGAUAAUAUAAAAGCUUUGUAUUUCUACAUUAGGUAAAAUUUUCUAUGGGAUUCGUAAUAAUCAUUAUAUUGUGUUUAUGUCCAGGAGCUUUGAAUCAGCUAGCAAGAAAUUUGGCAUGUGAAUGGGCAAAAGACGGCAUAAGAGCUAAUGCUGUUGCUCCUAAUUUUAUCCGCACUACUCUGGUUCAAGCUGUAAUCAAUACACCCUCACGCUUUUUCAUAUAUUUGUUCUUUUGCUGUUAACAUCAUCCACUUCUUAUUCUUGUUUUUUACAAUCUUGUAAACAAUCAGUUUCUCGAAGACGCCGGUUUCAACGAGAGUUUGUCCAGUAGAACUCCACUUGGUCGCGUUGGAGAACCAAGAGAGGUUGCAUCACUUGUGGCUUUUCUGUGUCUACCUGUAGCUUCAUAUAUUACUGGUCAGACCAUUUGUGUUGAUGGAGGUCUUACUGUUAAUGGC